GAUCAAUUCAUGUUGUUCCAAAACAUAGAUCAUUUCAUUUUCGUCUCUAGACCUCUUGGUCAUAGAUUAGUCAUUAUUGAUCUGUGACAAAACAGAGUUAUCUUUUACAAUUAUUUCCCUUAUCAACCAAUUUUUUAAAGAAUCUAGAAGCAUAUUUUGCCAAAGCAUAACCACCACUUCAAAGGUUGGUAGCGCAUGUGGUUUCAAGAGCACUAAACAGAACAAACAAACAAACAAACAAAAACAAAAACAAAAAAUCUCCAAGCCAGCCUGAGCAGGUUGUUAUGUCCCAAGCAGUGUAUUUUAAUGUCCAGACUAUUAAUCAUUAUUGGGCCAAAGAAAAACCUUCAGGCCAAAGCUUCUGUAGUUAUUAUUCGAUUUCUGCCAUCAUGCAAUGCUUAUAUCUUUGUAGAAUUUAUUUAUAUGUCUAAUCUUGGUAUUCUUUUGUUCCUUGGUCAUACAAUACCACAGCAGCCCUGCAUAAGCUAACUUCUCUAAGAAGGGGAGGUCUUAAUACUUAUUUUUUUUUAAUCAUUUAUCCACACUCCUUUUGCCCAUCAAUAUAAGGCCCUGUGAAAGAAAGAGAUAAUGCUGGACAAUCUAACUUUCUUGCUGUAUCUCUUCCUCAAGGUACAUGCCAUCUGCGGCCCCCAAUCUUAUGUGCCAUUUACUCACCCGAGCAUAUAGCAGGAAGAGACUUCUAGUCUGAUCUGCUGCCAACCCCUCUAGCCCAUCGAAUCUUGUUGACCUUUUUAAGUUUACUUUGUCCUGAUUAUCUUGUUCCUGAGUAAUCACAGGGACAGAUGUUACAAGAGUGUCUUGGAGUCAGAGUCUCAAAAGGAGGUCUCUGGUGUCUUUAUUUGAAUCACAACCUCCAGGGCAUAAGGAAGACCUGCAAAUAGGGCCAGAUAAGGAUCUCUCUCUAGAAUCAGGGGGUGGCGAGGGGGGGGGGCGAGGGUAGUAUGCUUAGAAAUUUCCUGGGGAAGUAAGUAGUCCUGGAGAAGGCAUAAAUGAUUCAUAAGAAAUUUCCCAUCAGUCCAAUAUCCCCAAGUCGUAUACAUAUUAAAAGCCUCCCAAGCAUGCAAUACAUGGAGACCAAGACCAAAAGUGGAAGACCGCACAAUGGUGAUUGCAUCACUUGGCUUGGCAUUGCUGGAUCUUGGACAAGCAUCUAUGCUGGCUUCAUGGCUUUAGCUGUUCCCAUUAGGUAUGGCCAUGCUACCCUGGCUCUCUUUCCCCCACACCUACCUUACUUGACUUGUUAUGUGUGUGGCUGAUAGAUCACUCCUCUUUUCCCACUAGAAAAGGCUUUUGCACUUGGCCAGAAACAUUUCUUAGACUCUUGUUGGAGCCAUUCCACACCAGUUCACAGAGAUAACUGUUCAUAUCUCUUCUAACCCAUGUGCCCAGGGAUGUCAGUUCUGUAGCCCAAGAUGUCAUGACAGGAGUUUUACACAAGAAUGAGCCAAUAUGAUAAAGUCUCCUACCUUCUCCCCACUGGUCUUUUGAGCAUAUUCUGGGAUUUGCCUCUUGCUCAUUCACAAUAGUAUUUGACAUGGACUCCACAAAAUAUGUGCUCUGUGAAAGAACAAAUGAGCAGUGUUUCACUUGUCUAAUUGGUUACAGCUCUGAUCUGCCUUGGGUGGAAAAUGAGCAAGCUGAAUCCCUGACUUGAGCAUCUGGGGAUAACACUGGUCAACAGUAAGAUUGGAAUUAUUUUCUUAGUGUUCACAAUCCAGUGUAUUUGUUCCAGGCAUUAACUCUU
rnacentral:lncRNA from 1 species